rnacentral:tRNA from 1 species
GGCGCCGUAGCUCAGCGGUCAGAGCGUUCCUCUCAUAAAGGACGGGUCGGCGGUUCAAUUCCGUCCGGCGCCACCA